GGCUAACGCUGGCGGCGCGCCUAACACAUGCAAGUCGAACGAACCCUUCGGGGUUAGUGGCUGACGGGUGAGUAACGCGUGGAUAAUGUGCCUCUUUGCUGGGGAUACCGUUCCGAAAGGAACGUUAAUACCGAAUGUGCUCGUUUGUCGGCAUCGUCGAGCAAGGAAACAGUUAGGGUGAAGAGAGGAGUCCGCGUUCUAUCAGCUAGUUGGUGAGGUAACGGCUGACCAAGGCUACGACGGAUAACUGGUCUGAGAGGAUGAUCAGUCACACUGGAACGGAGACACGGGCCAGGCUCCUACGGGAGGCAGCAGUGAGGAAUCUUGCACAAUGGGCGAAAGCCAGAUGCAGCGACGCCGCGUGAGGGAUGAAGGCCUUCGGGUUGUAAAACUCUGUCAGUAGGGAAGAAGAAUGACGGUACCUACUGAGGAAGCUUCGGCUAACUACGUG
rnacentral:rRNA from 1 species